CUCUUUCUCUCAGGCCUAUGGAGACAGUGCAAGAGAAACCGGCACCCAAGGAUUCUGAGGAAAAGUGUAAGAGACGUUUAGUCCGAGGUUGAUCCAGGGACCUGUUAGAGCGCAGUUGUCUCCCCUGUUUUGCCAAAAUCCAGUGCCAGCAUUAUGACCUGUCGAGAUAUAUUUAUCCCCAAUGAACCCAACAGAUCAGGGAAACAGAUGGAGGAUGUUGUGUGUGGAAAUAGAUAGGACUUGUAGAAAAAAGUUAUACUUUUUUU